rnacentral:rRNA from 1 species
GAGUUUGAUCGUGGCUCAGAUUGAACGCUGGCGGCAUGCCUUACACAUGCAAGUCGAACGGCAGCAUGAUCUAGCUUGCUAGAUUGAUGGCGAGUGGCGAACGGGUGGGUAAUACAUCGGAACGUGCCCUGUAGUGGGGGAUAACUAGUCGAAAGAUUAGCUAAUACCGCAUACGACCUGAGGGUGAAAGUGGGGGACCGCAAGGCCUCAUGCUAUAGGAGCGGCCGAUGUCUGAUUAGCUAGUUGGUGGGUAAAGGCCCACCAAGGCGACGAUCAGUAGCUGGUCUGAGAGGACGAUCAGCCACACUGGGACUGAGACACGGCCCAGACUCCUACGGGAGGCAGCAGUGGGGAAUUUUGGACAAUGGGCGAAAGCCUGAUCCAGCAAUGCCGCGUGUGUGAAGAAGGCCUCGGUUGUAAG